rnacentral:tRNA from 2 species
GCCGGAGUAGCUCAGCUGGCCUAGAGUGCCAGUCUCCACAAAGGGUAAUACUCAUAAUCUGGAGGUCGUGGGUUCGAAACCCACCUCCGGCA